AGUCUCCUCCCUGUUGCCACACACGGCUGUGGCUCUUUCACUUCCAUUGCUGUUGAGAAUCCCAGCAUCUGUGGACCCAUUUUGCUGAUUUGACUGGUUUCCCCUGGACACUCUUUUCACAGCCUUGGUCAUCUAUAAUUUCCUGAGCCUGUGCUAUGAGUACCUAGGAGGAGAAAGUUCCAUCAUGUCGGAGAUCAGAGGAAAACCCAUUGAGUCCAGCUGUGUGUACGGCACCUGCUGCCUCUGGGGAAAGACUUAUUCCAUCGGAUUUCUGAGGUUCUGCAAACAGGCCACCCUGCAGUUCUGUGUGGUGAAGCCACUCAUGGCGGUCAGCACUGUGGUCCUCCAGGCCUUCGGCAAGUACCGGGAUGGGGACUUUGAGUAAGCAGCGGGUGCUCCCCGGGGUGUGUGGGAGGAGCGUUGGCACAGGCUGGUGCCUUGCCUCAGGGAAGGGGGCAGCCAGAGUGGCCGCACAGCCAUGACCUUCCUGGGUGCCUGGUGCUCACAACCCCCGUGAAGUCCAAGCCCAGCAGUGGACACCCUUGCAGUUGGCCCUGCUGC
rnacentral:sRNA from 1 species